GAUGAAGAACGUAGUGAAAUGCGAUAAGUAAUGUGAAUUGCAGAAUUCAGUGAAUCAUCGAAUCUUUGAACGCACAUUGCGCCCACCAGUAUUCUGGCGGGCAUGCCUGUUCGAGCGUCAUUUCAACCAUCAAGCCCCCGGCUUGUGUUGGGGACCUGCGGCUGCCGCAGGCCCUGAAAACCAGUGGCGGGCUCGCUAGUCACUCCGAGCGUAGUAAUACAUCUCGCUCAGGGCGUGCUGCGGGUUCCGGCCGUUAAAAGCCUUAUUUACCCAAGGUUGACCUCGGAUCAGGUAGGAAGACCCGCUGAACUUAAGCAUAUCAAUAAGCGGAGGA
rnacentral:misc_RNA from 1 species